UGAUUAGAGCGGCGGACGGGUGAGUAACGCGUAGGAAUCUACCUAGUAGCGGGGGAUAGCCCGAGGAAACUCGGAUUAAUACCGUAUACCUCCUUCGGGAGAAAGAAGGCCUCUCUUUGAAGCUUUCGCUACUAGAUGAGCCUGCGUAAGAUUAGCUUGUUGGUGAGGUAAAGGCUCACCAAGGCGACGAUCUUUAGCGGGUCUGAGAGGACGAUCCGCCACAUUGGGACUGAGACACGGCCCAGACUGC
rnacentral:rRNA from 1 species